rnacentral:rRNA from 1 species
UACGUAGGGGGGCAAGCGUUGUCCGGAAUUAUUGGGCGUAAAGAGCGUGUAGGCGGUCCGGUAAGUCGGCUGUGAAAGUCCAGGGCUCAACCCUGGGAUGCCGGUCGAUACUGCCGGACUAGAGUUCGGAAGAGGCGAGUGGAAUUCCCGGUGUAGCGGUGAAAUGCGCAGAUAUCGGGAGGAACACCUAUGGCGAAGGCAGCUCGCUGGGACGUUACUGACGCUGAGACGCGAAAGCGUGGGGAGCGAACAGG